GCGAUGUCGUGUCGGCUACCCAGCCUCUUCCACAGACAUCUCUGAUGGGUUCAAUGUCGGCACCUUGUUUGGUCACAUUUGGUUUACCAGAAUCCAGCCACCCAGUCCAUUGGCAGUCGUCCCAACACAGCGUGGUCUCAGUGGUCGUGGGUGGGGAGGUCACAGUGGUGGGGGUUGGUGUUGGGGUCUCUGUGGUGGUGGUUGUGGUGGUGGUGGUCGGGGUUGAGGUCUCUGGGGUGGUGGUGGUGGUGGUGGUGGUGAUGGGGGUCACGGUGGAGGUCUCUGUGGUGGUGGUGGUGGUGGUGAUGGUGGUCACGGUGGUGGUCUCAGUGGUGGUGGGAGAAGCUGUGGAGAAACACAACCCACAGCAGUACACGUUGAUCUCAUAGUUGAGGCAGUGAGGCAUGGGGAUACGUCCCCCAGGGUUCUGGUCUUGGUUUUUGCACACCAGUCCAACUGAAGUGGCACACACCACCGUUUGUCCAAGCUGUUCGAUGGGAACGUUUGGAUACCUCUGGGCUCUGCAGGCGAUGUCGGCUACCCAGCCUCUUCCACAGACAUCUCUGAUGGGUUCAAUGUCGGCACCUUGUUUGGUCACAUUUGGUUUACCAGAAUCCAGCCACCCAGUCCAUUGGCAGUCGUCCCAACACAGAGUGGUCUCAG
rnacentral:lncRNA from 1 species